UUCAUUAGAGAUAUUUGUGAUUGACUCAUUGGGCUAAAAAUAUGGCACGAUUUUUUUGCCUCUUGAUGAAUAGACCGGAAGGUAGUAUUGCUCCUUUGACUGUUAAACAAGAAAAUAUCUCAUCCCAACCAAACUUACAUGAUUGUGGAGUCAUAAUGUUGAAAGCAAUGGAAAUUUGGGAUGGAGACGAGAAAUACAACGGAAAAAGCAUGCCUCAAUAUACAACCGUAAGUAGCAAUUGUGUUUGUUAAAAUUAUGACAUGUGUUGGUUUAUAAUGGGGAAAAUGUUGGUUUCA